rnacentral:rRNA from 1 species
UACGAAGGGGGCUAGCGUUGUUCGGAUUAACUGGGCGUAAAGGGUGCGUAGGCGGGGUUUUAAGUCAGGGGUGAAAUGCCGAGGCUCAACUUCGGAACUGCCUUUGAUACUGGAACUCUUGAGUCCGGGAGAGGUGAGUGGAACUGCGAGUGUAGAGGUGAAAUUCGUAGAUAUUCGCAAGAACACCAGUGGCGAAGGCGGCUCACUGGCCCGGUACUGACGCUGAGGCACGAAAGCGUGGGGAGCAAACAGG